rnacentral:rRNA from 1 species
UACGUAGGGUGCGAGCGUUGUCCGGAAUUAUUGGGCGUAAAGGGCUCGUAGGCGGUUUGUCGCGUCGGGAGUGAAAACCUUGGGCUUAACUCAGGGCUUGCUUUCGAUACGGGCAGACUAGAGGUAUGCAGGGGAGAACGGAAUUCCUGGUGUAGCGGUGAAAUGCGCAGAUAUCAGGAGGAACACCGGUGGCGAAGGCGGUUCUCUGGGCAUGAUCUGACGCUGAGGAGCGAAAGUGUGGGGAGCAAACGGG